rnacentral:lncRNA from 1 species
GUGGGGGCAGCUGACUCUCCUCAUGGUAUCCUGGUGGCCUCUCUUCUCCCAAGCCUUAAAUUUGCCCCGGAGAGCAGGCUUCUGGGUAACUUGACAGCCUGAAUCUAAGGCUCACCCAGAUCUGGAGAGGCCCUUGGGGUCCUCACCUGAGAGAAGUCAGGAUGGAGGUGUGGGAGGACGAAGGCGCUAUGGUCAGCUUCUCAUCACUUGUCAGGACUGCCUCCCCGUGCUGCAGGGACUCGUGAAAGCGGCGGAUGUUCUGCACAUGCUCUUCAUGGCGUGCGGCCUGGCUUCUGAUGGCACCAUUUCUGUCACGGGGAAACCGGGAGUGAAGUCAACUCCUAACCAAGGAGAGAACUCUCAGCAUGACAACUGAGUCAUGUUCUUGAAAUGAAACUGCAGACCUGUCCCACCACUGUAAACAGUUCUGGCUUGCUUAGCUCUUUUUGUAUUACACAGGUUUCUUAAAAAAACUUGCUUUCAGCCUUACCCACCCCACUUCCUUCUGUUGUUCUCUACAUUUGAGUGGGAGUGACUUUUCUAACCAACGCCACAUAUGGAGCCUUCCUUAAGGAUUCAACAGGGAUUAAUCUAUUCACCAUUCCCAUUCCUUUCUGGCUCUGCCUUUUUUAAUCUACAGAACAAAUCUCUAAUUCCUAAGCAUGGUAUUCAAAAAUGUGACCACAACAAUCUUUUUUUUCUCUUUUAAUAAGGCAGCCUUUUUGAGGUAAUUCAUACAGCAUUUAGUUAACACAAUUGAAAUAUAUAAUUUCAUCUGGCGAUUUUAGUAUAUCCAGAGUCCAUGAGUGUUUGAUCCCUUAGCGCUGGGGCUGUAUGCCCUGGCUGUGGAUGCUCAGGAGGAACUGAGCUCAGGUCCUCUGGAAAAGUAGCAGUUACCCUCAAUGGCUGACACAGUUCUCCAGGCCCUAUAUUAAAGAACUACCAAACAGCUCUGCAAGGCACUUAGACAACUUUACAAUCUCUCCACAUUCUUCCUUCCUAACACCUGUGAUACCUUCUUCCCUGUUACUGCAGUGGGUAUGAAGCUGUACCUCAUUUUGGUUUUGAUUUGCAUUUUUCAUCAUCACUUGUCUAUUUUCUUUGGAGAAUUGUCUAUCCAGCUACUUUGUUUUAAAAUUGUGUUAUUUAAGCCCCUCUACCAGUAUUGGGGGAUCAAAGCUAGACAGACAAGUGCUUCUAAUAGAAGCCCAUCAGAUGGGAUAUUUGCUUCAUAUAUUGGAGUUGUUUAUGGUUUAGUUAUAAAUCUCCACUAGAUCUAUGUUUUGAAUUUAUUCUUCUAUGGGUUUUCUUUUUACUUUCUAUUUUCUUCAAAAUUUAUUUUUAUUUUAUUUGUGUGUGUGUGUGUGUGUGGUAUGUUGUGUGUGGUGCCUUGGAGGCCAGAGGAUGACAAUGGAUAACUGAGAACUUGGAGUUACAAAUUGCUGUGAUCCCUAAGAUGUGAGUGCUGGCAGGUGAACUUGGGCCCCCAGGAGUCGCUCUUACCUGCUGAGCCAUCUUCCAGGCCCUUCCCUUUCCUGAUGUCAUCACACACAGCACUCAGGUCUUCUGAUCAAACAGGGUUUUUUUUUUUCUUUUUUUUUCUGCUUGUGCCUUUGUCAUCAUAUUUAGGGAAUCAAUAAUUCACAAAAAUUUACACCGAUUAUGUUUUCUUUGCAGAGUGUCUUGUUUUGCUACUAUGUUAACUCCAAUUUGGGGCUGUUUUGUGUAUGGCACUAGGAGGGGCUUGAAUUCAGCCCGCACUGGGGUGUCAAGCUGUUGCGGUUCUGUUCAGAAGUCUGUUCUUUCCUCAUUGAACUGUAAGGGCACACCUGCUAAAAUUCAGUUCACAUACUUUAUCUUUGGGACAUUAAUUUUACUUCACUGGUCUGUAUUUCUAGCCUGUGCUGUGUUUUGCUUCCUGUAGCGCUGUGGACUCGGGAACUUUGCUCUUAAAAGGUUGUUUGUCUAUUCUGCAUUUCUCGAAUUUCCAUAUGAAGUUUAGAAUUGGUUUAUUCAUUUCUAGAAAGAAACCAACAGGGAUUUUGAUAUUAUGUUGAACCUAUAUAAGAAUAUUGGAAGUACCAUAAUGUUAAAAAUGUUAAAUUCAUGAAUCC